ACUCAAAUGAAUUGACGGGGGCCCGCACAAGCGGAGGAACAUGUGGUUUAAUUCGAUGAUACGCGAGGAACCUUACCCGGGCUUGAAUUGCAUUUGAAUGUAUGGGAAACUGUACAGCCAGCAAUGGCAAAUGUGAAGGUGCUGCAUGGUUGUCGUCAGCUCGUGCCGUGAGGUGUCGGCUUAAGUGCCAUAACGAGCGCAACCCUCAUCAUUAGUUACUAACAGGUCAUGCUGAGGACUCUAAUGAGACUGCCAGCGUAAGCUGUGAGGAAGGUGGGGAUGACGUCAAAUCAGCACGGCCCUUACGUCCGGGGCGACACACGUGUUACAAUGGGGGGGACAGCAGGCUGCCACUGGGUGACCAGGAGCCAAUCCCUAAACCCCCUCUCAGUUCGGAUCGAAGUCUGCAACCCGACUUCGUGAAGCUGGAUUCGCUAGUAAUCGCGCAUCAGCCAUGGCGCGGUGAAUACGUUCCCGGGCCUUGCACACACCGCCCGU
rnacentral:rRNA from 1 species